AUUUUGUAACCUUCCGAAGCAAUCUCAUUUUGAGAUGAAAUUUCUCAGGCUUGUUUCUUUUCCCAAAGGCAAAUUGCUUGGGAAAGUUUAUAU